rnacentral:rRNA from 1 species
AUUGAACGCUGGCGGCAGGCCUAACACAUGCAAGUCGAGCGGAUGAAGGGAGCUUGCUCCUGGAUUCAGCGGCGGACGGGUGAGUAAUGCCUAGGAAUCUGCCUGGUAGUGGGGGAUAACGUCCGGAAACGGGCGCUAAUACCGCAUACGUCCUGAGGGAGAAAGUGGGGGAUCUUCGGACCUCACGCUAUCAGAUGAGCCUAGGUCGGAUUAGCUAGUUGGUGGGGUAAAGGCCUACCAAGGCGACGAUCCGUAACUGGUCUGAGAGGAUGAUCGGUCACACUGGAACUGAGACACGGUCCAGACUCCUACGGGAGGCAGCAGUGGGGAAUAUUGGACAAUGGGCGAAAGCCUGAUCCAGCCAUGCCGCGUGUGUGAAGAAGGUCUUCGGAUUGUAAAGCACUUUAAGUUGGGAGGAAGGGCAGUAAGUUAAUACCUUGCUGUUUUGACGUUACCAACAGAAUAAGCACCGGCUAACUUCGU